rnacentral:lncRNA from 1 species
ACUUCCGGCAGCGCCGCGGCCGGGAGGGACCGAGCGGGGAGCAAGGCCUGCGGGGAGGCGCAGGAUGGACGCGUUGGCUGUCAUGAUGUAGGACCUCCUGACCUAGAACCAUGCCCGGCGCAGGGAGAACAACGAGCUUACGGACCGGGUGCGGGGGCUGCUGUGCGAGAAAGCCUACCUGCUGGCCCGGGAGCGUUCGCCGGCCCACCUGGUGGCUUUCCCUGGACGUUUAACGGCGACUCCGCCCGGCCUCCCGACUUUUUGAUGCAGGCGUUCUCUUACAUGACUUUCUUCGAGGCUAGAUUCUCGAAAGACAUCCUGAAGGUGGCUUUCUUAAUUAGCUGCCUCACCGGCUGGCGGAGCAGUUCGUAGUCGCCUACAUCGAGAGGGAGAGCCCCGUCCUGGCUCAGUACUGGGGCUUCGUGGACGCGCUGUAGCGGGUCUUCGCCGUCGUGGGUAGGAAACAGUCGGGCCGGAUCCCCGGUGUCUGGGGAGCGGCUGCCGGCCGGGCCCGCGCGAGCCGCUUCACUCCUACAAGCCCGGCUCACUAGUUCCAAGCUGCUGGACUUUGACCCUCGCUGGGAAGCUUGAUCGCCGCCUGUUCUCGCCAAUCUCUAUGCCUUUGCACUGCCCAGCAACCCGGUCACUGCCCAGGACCUGUUAAAAGUUGAAUGGACCUCCCAGAAUCACGCCGCUGCCACCGCCGUUUCUAGAGACGGCUUUUGGCCACCUUUGAGAAUCAGGGUCAAACUUGGAAGGGCCUGCAUUUGUCACACUUCCUCGGACACUAAUUUGGAUAGUUCAGGCCCAGAGACGGCUUCCCGGGUUAGUGUGCCUGACAACACUGAAGAAAAAUUGUGACAUUUUCCUUCCCCAGAAUUACUUCGUUUUAUACAUUUCACUUCUCUUCUGAAAUCACAGCAAUGCCAGUUUGCGCCUUUUGGUCUGAGGAACGCAGGCCCUGGCCACUACCAGGAAAAAAUCCUUUGCACAUGGCCUGCUAUCAACAAUCCUCUACAAUGAUUCUCAGCAUCACCUAGGGAGCUUAUGUAAAAUCUCAAAUUCCUGGGCCCUAUCCCCAGAGUUUCUUAUCAAGUAAGUCUGCAUUGGGAUCUGAGGAUUUGCAUCUCUAACAAAAAUUCCUAGGCGAUGCUCACACUGUUGGUGUAAGGGUCCACUCACAAAUCGCAGCUGGUAUGGACUGGUACUGCCCCAAAUAAGAGGAACCUAAGAGCUUGGCUCCAAGACCCCCCACCAUCCCGGUGGGUUUGCUUGGCCUUUAGGAUGUGUGACUACAGCUUUUGGGUAGGUACAGGGCAAUCAAGAUUGAGGAAGAACACUUCAGCAAAGCAACCAUUAUUUGUCCACAAAAACAGUGAAAAACAGUGAUAUAAAAUUAACAAACCAAAUAUAAAUCUAACGCCAU